rnacentral:misc_RNA from 1 species
AACGCACAUUGCGCCCCUUGGUAUUCCGAGGGGCAUGCCUGUUCGAGCGUCAUGAUCAAAUCUCAAGCCUAGCUUGGAAUUGGGCUUUCGUCUCCUGCCAUUGCGGCUAAUUGAGACGUGCCUAAAAAGAAAUGGCAAUACCUCAAUGGACUCUAGCGUAGCAGACUGACUUGCGCUUGGAGGGCUGUUUGUGGGUUUUAGCUAUAAAAUAAUCAAGUUGGACCUCGGAUCAGGUAGGGAUACCCGCUGAACUUAA